rnacentral:lncRNA from 1 species
CCAAUAUCUCUAUUCCUUUUCUCCUUCUCUCUAAUCUCAGCCCUUCGAUUCAUCCAACAAUUUCCCAGCCCUCCGAUUUACUUAUUAAUCUCCUCAAUUCUCUCUCUCUUCCUCCCAUGGACCGCCGUGUUCGUACAAACCCAUUCCUCUCCGAACAGGAAGAUCCCGAAGCCACCUCCGACGACGGCUUACCCGAAUCACCCUCCGACUGCAAUGACUCAAAACCCACCGCUGCUCCAC